rnacentral:lncRNA from 1 species
GCGAGUAAUAGAUAUUCAACGUACCAACUAUUGGUAAUAAUUUUAUGAAGCGCUAUUCGUAAACAUGAAGACUUUUGUCAUUCUACCUAAGGUCAAACUUCUACGGUCAAACUUGUAAAAGAUUUUCCUCUUUGGUUAUGUAGUGAAUUGCACUUAAAUGUUUUAGAUGUUUAGUUAGCUAAUUUUCUAAGUAGUGAUGUGAUGUAUUAAAUGUUGAGCGGUG